rnacentral:rRNA from 1 species
UACGAAGGGGGCUAGCGUUGCUCGGAAUCACUGGGCGUAAAGGGUGCGUAGGCGGGUCUUUAAGUCAGGGGUGAAAUCCUGGAGCUCAACUCCAGAACUGCCUUUGAUACUGAGGAUCUUGAGUUCGGGAGAGGUGAGUGGAACUGCGAGUGUAGAGGUGAAAUUCGUAGAUAUUCGGAAGAACACCAGUGGCGAAGGCGGCUCACUGGCCCGGUACUGACGCUGAGAUACGAAAGCGUGGGGAGCAAACAGGG